AUGAGCUGUGGAUAGGGGUGAAAGGCUAAACAAACUUGGAGAUAGCUGGUUCUCUCCGAAAACUAUUUAGGUAGUGCCUCGUAUAUCAUUCUCGGGGGUAGAGCACUGUUAUGGCUAGGGGGUUCAUAAGAACUUACCAAACCAUUGCAAACUCCGAAUACUGAGAAAUGCAAUUACGGGAGACAGACCAUGGGUGCUAACGUCCGUGGACAAGAGGGAAACAACCCAGACCGACAGCUAAGGUCCCAAAUGACGUGCUAAGUGGAAAACGAAGUGGGAAGGCAUAGACAGCCAGGAUGUUGGCUUAGAAGCAGCCAUCAUUUAAAGAAAGCGUAAUAGCUCACUGGUCGAGUCGUCCUGCGCGGAAGAUGUAACGGGGCUAAGCACGUAACCGAAGCUUCGGAUGCCCUAAUUUAUUAGGUGCAUGGUAGGAGAGCGUUCUGUAGGCCUGCGAAGGUGUACUGUGAGGAAUGCUGGAGGUAUCAGAAGUGCGAAUGCUGACAUGAGUAGCGUUAAAGGGGGUGAAAAGCCCCCUCGCCGUAAGCGCAAGGUUUCCUACGCAACGUUCAUCGGCGUAGGGUGAGUCGGCCCCUAAGGCGAGGCAGAGAUGCGUAGCUGAUGGGAAACAGGUUAAUAUUCCUGUACCUCUAUACAAUGCGAUGUGGGGACGGAGAAGGUUAGGUCAGCCGGGUGUUGGAUGUCCCGGUUCAAGCGUGUAGGUUGGUUCUUUAGGCAAAUCCGGAGAGCUAAGACUGAGACGUGAUAACGAGCCUACUUGCACACGAAGUGAUUGAUACCAUGCUUCCAAGAAAAGCCACUAAGCUUCAGUUGUAUAAGACCGUACCGCAAACCGACACAGGUGGGCAGGAUGAGAAUUCUAAGGCGCUUGAGAGAACCCGGGAGAAGGAACUCGGCAAAUUAGCACCGUAACUUCGGGAGAAGGUGCGCCCCGGUAACGUGUAGUGACUUGCUCACGAAGCGUGAUGGGGUUGCAGUGAAAAGGUGGCUGCGACUGUUUAAUAAAAACACAGCACUCUGCAAACACGAAAGUGGACGUAUAGGGUGUGACGCCUGCCCGGUGCUGGAAGAUUAAAUGAUGGGGUGCAAGCUCUUGAUUGAAGUCCCAGUAAACGGCGGCCGUAACUAUAACGGUCCUAAGGUAGCGAAAUUCCUUGUCGGGUAAGUUCCGACCCGCACGAAUGGCGUAACGAUGGCCACACUGUCUCCUCUCGGGACUCAGCGAAGUUGAAAUGUUUGUGAAGAUGCAAUCUCCCCGCGGCUAGACGGAAAGACCCCAUGAACCUUUACUGCAGCUUUACAUUGGACUUUGACAAGAUUUGUGUAGGAUAGGUGGGAGACUAUGAAGCGGUGUCGCUAGAUAUCGUGGAGUCAUCC
rnacentral:rRNA from 1 species